CCUACGGGUGCUGCAGUGGGGAAUUUUGGACAAUGGGGGCAACCCUGAUCCAGCCAUGCCGCGUGCGGGAAGAAGGCCUUCGGGUUGUAAACCGCUUUUGUCAGGGAAGAAAUCUUCCGAGCUAAUACCUUGGGAGGAUGACGGUACCUGAAGAAUAAGCACCGGCUAACUACGUGCCAGCAGCCGCGGUAAUACGUAGGGUGCAAGCGUGGAUCGGGGCGUCUGGGCGUAAAGGGUGCAGAGGCGGUUGAAAUCCCCGGGCUUAACCUGGGAACUGCACUUGUGACUGUACGGCUGGAGUACGGCAGAGGGGGAUGGAAUUCCGCGUGUAGCAGUGAAAUGCGUAGAUAUGCGGAGGAACACCGAUGGCGUAGGCAGUCCCCUGGGCCUGUACUGACGCUCAUGCACGAAAGCGUGGGGAGCAAACAGGAUUAGAUACCCGAGUAGUC
rnacentral:rRNA from 1 species